GAUGAACGCUGGCGGCGUGCCUAAUACAUGCAAGUCGAGCGAACAGACGAGGAGCUUGCUCCUCUGACGUUAGCGGCGGACGGGUGAGUAACACGUGGAUAACCUACCUAUAAGACUGGGAUAACUUCGGGAAACCGGAGCUAAUACCGGAUAAUAUAUUGAACCGCAUGGUUCAAUAGUGAAAGACGGUUUUGCUGUCACUUAUAGAUGGAUCCGCGCCGCAUUAGCUAGUUGGUAAGGUAACGGCUUAACAAGGCAACGAUGCGUAGCCGACCUGAGAGGGUGAACGGACACACUGGAACUGAGACACGGUCCAGACUCCUACGGGAGGAAGCAGUAGGGAAUCUUCCGCAAUGGGCGAAAGCCUGACGGAGCAACGCCGCGUGAGUGAUGAAGGUCUUCGGAUCGUAAAACUCUGUUAUUAGGGAAGAACAAAUGUGUAAGUAACUAUGCACGUCUUGACGGUACCUAAUCAGAAAGCCACGGCUAACUACGUG
rnacentral:rRNA from 1 species